UACCAGCACCCCGAGUGGUCGGGACGAUUAUUGGGCCUAAAGCAUCCGUAGCCGGUCAUGCAAGUCUUCCGUUAAAUCCAGCCGCUCAACGGUUGGGCUGCGGAGGAUACUACAGGGCUAGGGAGGCGGGAGAGGCAAAGCGGUACUUUAUGGGGUAGGGGUAAAAUCCGUUGAUCCAUAGAAGACCACCAGUGGCGAAGGCGGCUUGCCAGAACGCGCUCGACGGUGAGGGAUGAAAGCUGGGG
rnacentral:rRNA from 1 species